UACGAAGGGGGCGAGCGUUGUUCGGAAUUACUGGGCGUAAAGGGCGCGCAGGCGGCCUCAUGAGUCAGAUGUGAAAGCCCCGGGCUCAACCUGGGAAUGGCAUUUGAUACUCUGAGGCUGGAGUACGGGAGAGGAGAGUGGAAUUCCCAGUGUAGAGGUGAAAUUCGUAGAUAUUGGGAAGAACGCCGGUGGCGAAGGCGGCUCUCUGGACCGUAACUGACGCUGAGGCGCGAAAGCGUGGGGAGCAAACAGG
rnacentral:rRNA from 1 species